rnacentral:rRNA from 1 species
AUUGAACGCUGGCGGCAGGCCUAACACAUGCAAGUCGGGCGAGCGGCAGACGGGUGAGUAAUGUAUGGGGAUCUGCCUGCUGGAGGGGGAUAACUACUGGAAACGGCAGCUAAUACCGCAUACCUUCAGAUGCACCCAGAUGGGAUUAGCUAGUAGGUGGGGUAACGGCUCACCUAGGCGACGAUCCCUAGCUGGUCUGAGUGGAUGAUCAGCCACACUGGGGCUGAGACACGGCCCAGACUCCUGCGGGCGGCAGCAGUGGGGAAUAUUGCACAAUUGGCGCAAGCCUGAUGCAGCCAUGCCGCGUAUAUUAAGAAGGCCGUCAGGUUGUAAAGUACUUUCAGUCGGGAGGCGUUACCGGCAGAAGAAGCACCGGCUAACUCCGUGCAAGCAGCCGCGGUAAUUC